CAAAGGCCAUUUGGAGGGAGGUCUCCCCCGACUUGGUCAUAGAGCACCAGGAGACGGAGAGGAAUGGCACCAGGAGAGCACAAUGAACUGACAUAAAUCCUGUCUGUGUACUAACACUCUGACCCCAGUAAGAAGAUGGAUGAGAACAGUGAUUUCAAACAGCACGGGAAGCCCUGAGCAGGAAACUGCCAAGAACUAGGACAGAGUCCCCAGGGCAUGUG
rnacentral:lncRNA from 1 species